GCACUGAUGAAGAGUCCUACAAUAGGACGAAACUACCGUCCAGUGC
rnacentral:hammerhead_ribozyme from 1 species